rfam:Penicillium decumbens strain IBT 11843 PENDEC_contig014, whole genome shotgun sequence.
GUCAGUGUGGCCGAGCGGUUAAGGCGAUGCACUAGAACACUUGUUCUACUAGAUUGGUCACAAUCUGGAUAUGCAUUGGGUUCGCCCGCACAUGUUCGAAUCAUGUCGCUGACG